AGAGAGAGACAUGCGCGCAUAUCAAUAAGCGGAGGAAAAGAAACUAACUAGGAUUCCCUUAGUAACGGCGAGUGAAGCGGGAAGAGCUCAAAUUUGAAGUCUUCAAGGUUUUACCUUGACGAAUUGUAGUUUAAAGAAGUGUUUUCUGCUGAAGUUUUGGUAAAAGUUCUUUGGAAUAGGACAUCAUAGAGGGUGAGAAUCCCGUAUUUGACCAUUAUUUUCAGCUUUGUGAUACACUUUCAAAGAGUCGGAUUGUUUGGGAAUGCAGUCCAAAAUGGGUGGUAAAUUUCAUCUAAAGCUAAAUAUUGGCGAGAGACCGAUAGCGAACAAGUACCGUGAGGGAAAGAUGAAAAGAACUUUGAAAAGAGAGUUAAACAGUACGUGAAAUUGUCAAAAGGGAAGCGUUUGACACCAGUGUUGUUUUCUCGAAAAUCAAUUAAAAAUGGCUCGAUUUGUAUUGCUUGAGACCUUAAAAGCUCACUGUACAUUUUUCGUGUCUUUUUUAAUGCACUUUUCGUUUAACAAGUCAACAUCAGUUUCUUUUGUUGUAAAAGGGUCAUUGGAAGGUGGCUUUCUUUUCGGAGAAAGUGUUUAUAGCCGUUGGCCUCUGCAAUCGGAGAGACUGAGGUCUGCAGCGUAGACUCUUCGGGGUUAGAUACAUUUGUGCUAAGUUAUAGCUUUUUAUAGACAACUUGUUGACUAUAAUUAGUCUUGUAGCUUACUCGCUUAUGCUAUUUUACCUACGCUUAGGAUGUUGAAGAUGUAGCACAUCAU
rnacentral:rRNA from 1 species